rnacentral:rRNA from 1 species
UAUCUGAACCUUCGGGGAACGAUAACGGCGUCGAGCGGCGGACGGGUGAGUAAUGCCUAGGAAAUUGCCCUGAUGUGGGGGAUAACCAUUGGAAACGAUGGCUAAUACCGCAUGAUGCCUACGGGCCAAAGAGGGGGACCUUCGGGCCUCUCGCGUCAGGAUAUGCCUAGGUGGGAUUAGCUAGUUGGUGAGGUAAGGGCUCACCAAGGCGACGAUCCCUAGCUGGUCUGAGAGGAUGAUCAGCCACACUGGAACUGAGACACGGUCCAGACUCCUACGGGAGGCAGCAGUGGGGAAUAUUGCACAAUGGGCGCAAGCCUGAUGCAGCCAUGCCGCGUGUGUGAAGAAGGCCUUCGGGUUGUAAAGCACUUUCAGUCGUGAGGAAGGUAGUGUAGUUAAUAGCUGCAUUAUUUGACGUUAGCGACAGAAGAAGCACCGGCUAACUCCGUGCCAGCAGCCGCGGUAAUACGGAGGGUGCGAGCGUUAAUCGGAAUUACUGGGCGUAAAGCGCAUGCAGGUGGUUUGUUAAGUCAGAUGUGAAAGCCCGGGGCUCAACCUCGGAAUAGCAUUUGAAACUGGCAGACUAGAGUACUGUAGAGGGGGGUAGAAUUUCAGGUGUAGCGGUGAAAUGCGUAGAGAUCUGAAGGAAUACCGGUGGCGAAGGCGGCCCCCUGGACAGAUACUGACACUCAGAUGCGAAAGCGUGGGGAGCAAACAGGAUUAGAUACCCUGGUAGUCCACGCCGUAAACGAUGUCUACUUGGAGGUUGUGGCCUUGAGCCGUGGCUUUCGGAGCUAACGCGUUAAGUAGACCGCCUGGGGAGUACGGUCGCAAGAUUAAAACUCAAAUGAAUUGACGGGGGCCCGCACAAGCGGUGGAGCAUGUGGUUUAAUUCGAUGCAACGCGAAGAACCUUACCUACUCUUGACAUCCAGAGAACUUUCCAGAGAUGGAUUGGUGCCUUCGGGAACUCUGAGACAGGUGCUGCAUGGCUGUCGUCAGCUCGUGUUGUGAAAUGUUGGGUUAAGUCCCGCAACGAGCGCAACCCUUAUCCUUGUUUGCCAGCGAGUAAUGUCGGGAACUCCAGGGAGACUGCCGGUGAUAAACCGGAGGAAGGUGGGGACGACGUCAAGUCAUCAUGGCCCUUACGAGUAGGGCUACACACGUGCUACAAUGGCGCAUACAGAGGGCGGCCAACUUGCGAAAGUGAGCGAAUCCCAAAAAGUGCGUCGUAGUCCGGAUUGGAGUCUGCAACUCGACUCCAUGAAGUCGGAAUCGCUAGUAAUCGUGGAUCAGAAUGCCACGGUGAAUACGUUCCCGGGCCUUGUACACACCGCCCGUCACACCAUGGGAGUGGGCUGCAAAAGAAGUAGGUA